UAGGGAAUCUUCCGCAAUGGGCGAAAGCUUGACGGAGCAACGCCGCGUGAGUGAUGAAGGUCUUCGGAUCUUAAAACUCUUUUAUUAGGGAAGAACAAGUGUGUAAGUAACUAUGCACGUCUUGACGGUACCUAAUCAGAAAGCCACGGCUAACUACGUGCCAACAGCCGCGGUAAUACGUAGGUGGCAAGCGUUAUCCGGAAUUAUUGGGCGUAAAGCGCGCGUAGGCGGUUUUUUAAGUCUGAUGUGAAAGCCCACGGCUCAACCGUGGAGGGUCAUUGGAAACUGGAAAACUUGAGUGCAGAAGAGGAAAGUGGAAUUCCAUGUGUAGCGGUGAAAUGCGAAGAGAUAUGGAGGAACAACAGUGGCGAAGGCGACUUUCUGGUCUGUAACUGACGCUGAUGUGCGAAAGCGUGGGAAUCAAACAGG
rnacentral:rRNA from 1 species